rnacentral:rRNA from 1 species
GUUUGANUCCUGGCUCAGGACGAACGCUGGCGGCGUGCUUAACACAUGCAAGUCGAACGAUGAACCACUUCGGUGGGGAUUAGUGGCGAACGGGUGAGUAACACGUGGGCAAUCUGCCCUGCACUCUGGGACAAGCCCUGGAAACGGGGUCUAAUACCGGAUACUGACCUUCACAGGCAUCUGUGAUGGUCGAAAGCUCCGGCGGUGCAGGAUGAGCCCGCGGCCUAUCAGCUUGUUGGUGAGGUAGUGGCUCACCAAGGCGACGACGGGUAGCCGGCCUGAGAGGGCGACCGGCCACACUGGGACUGAGACACGGCCCAGACUCCUACGGGAGGCAGCAGUGGGGAAUAUUGCACAAUGGGCGAAAGCCUGAUGCAGCGACGCCGCGUGAGGGAUGACGGCCUUCGGGUUGUAAACCUCUU